UGGGAGUCAAAUAGAAAUACGCUAUCAUUUGCCUAACAGAUAUAGAGGCAACACUAACCAUGCUGUUCAUCGAAUCAUGGGCUGGAGAGAUCAUACUGUCACACACACAUUUGGUCAUAUAGCUUACAAUAAUCAGCAGCAAGGGGCAAGUACGCCAUUCCUUAGUCCAGACUGAAUCUCAAACCUCUUUAUUCCUUUGAAUCGCCAAACGUUGGAGCCAUUAGGAGAUGGGAAGAUGCUUUCUUAAAACCAUGGACCUGGUGGAAGCCACAAGAAUAAAAUCAUUGAGUGCUCCCAUGCCUUUUAUAACUUGAUCGAUGGGUCACUUCUUAUUGAAAUGAAGAAUACACCAAUAUGGACAUCGAGCCAGUUCUCUGGGAGAGUUUCCUGAUGGAAAGAAAUAGUGACAUGGUUUAGCAAAUCCUCUAAUUCAUUUCAACAGACACCUGUACUGCCAGACAGAGGCCUUCUGGUGGAUAAGAAGAUGAGGAUAGGCCUAUAGAAAGCCAGUGGUGGUUUAUUGACUUGGCAGUCCCAGAAUCAGAAGACCUUCUAGGUUCUACUAGUAAGUUGCAUGAUCCUGAGGAAGUCUUUCUCUUCUCUGAGUCUCAGUUUCGCCAUCUGUCAUUUGGGAAGAAGAAUACUUGUAUUAAUACUUCACAGGGUUGUUGUGAAGAAAACAACUUGCAAACCUUAAAGAUGCAAUGCAAACUCUUAUUACUAUUACUCAAGGAACUCAGGGUCCAGUGGGGAAGAUAAGACACUCACUACAUUUUAUAGUAUGAUAUGAUAAUUGCCAUGGUAGAGUUGCAAAGGUCUAUGGGCAUCUGAUAUAGUGGAGAGGGGACAAUGAAGGUGUGAGGGAAGGAGGGAGGGAAGGAAGAAGAAAAAAAUGGGUAAAGAAAGGAUGAGAGAGAGAGGUGGAGGGAAGUAGGGAAGGAGAGAGAAAGAAAGAUUCCAACAUCAUCACUAACUUUGUGUCUAUGAACAAAGGAGGCUUAUUCAGUCUCCUUAUCCGUAAAAUGAUUAUGGGAGAGUUGGGUCCCUUCCAGCUCUAAAUCUAUCAUCCUAUGAUAUUAUGUAAUUGAAAGAAGAUUUAUUAUAAAUUACUCCUUUUUGGAAGUAAUAGGAAAAUUAAGAAGAGGAGAGGAUUUGAAGAAAAAACACAUUUUAGAAAUAAUGAAUUUGAGAUGUCACUGGAACGCUCAGUUGGAAAAAAAAAUUAAGCCUCGAUCUGGGAGCCAUCUCACUAGAGAUAUUAAUGGAAUCCAUGGGAGAUUUUGAGCUCAAUAAAUAAAAUAGCAUCAAGUAAGAAAGAAGAACCCAAAGCAGAGACUUUAGGGACACUAAAUUUCGAGGGUGUAACAUGAGUGAAGAAUGAACACAGGAGACUGAGAAGGAACAAUCAGAAAGAGAAUGUAAGAGCAGAGUCACAAGGAAGAGAAGGUAAUCAACAGUGUGUAAUGCUACAGAGAUCAAGAAGAAGGUUGAGGAUUGAGAAAAAGACCAUUAGAUUUGGCCAUUAAGAGAACACUAGUAUCUCUGGAAAGAGCAAUUUCAGAUAUUUGAUGAGGCCAAAUUACAGAGGAUUCAGAAGAGAAUGAGAGGAAAGGGAGUAGAAACACUGCUUUUAGAUGGCUUUCUCAAGUAGUUUACCUGAGAUAGGGAAGAAAAAUCUCGGAUAACUCUUAGAGAUGAUAGGAUCAGGCAAGGGUUUCAUAAAGACAGAAGACAUGAGUAUGUUAAUAAGCAAUAGGGAAGGAAGCAGGAGAAAGGGAGAAACUGAUAAGAAAGAGUAGGGAAUGGAAUCAAGUGAACUUCUAGAAAGACUGAUGUAGGCAAGGAGAAGGGUCACUAUCAGAGACCAGUGUGAAUGAGAACAUAAAGGGAUGAGAUGUCUGAAUGAUAGGAUGUGAGUAGGAAGGAAAAAGUAGGAUUCUUCUUGCAAUUGAUUGAUUUUUGUGUAUGUGUGUGAAGGAUGAAGUAAAAGUCCUCAGUUGAGAGAAUGGAGGAAGAGAGAUGCUAUAGGAACUUUAGAAGAGGGGAGUAGAGUAGCAAAUAUGGAGGAAGAGAAGGCUGAUGUGAAGUCAACAUUAGGGGACCAAUUUUUAAUGGAUUCAAAAAGGAGUUUUGUGAUUUCUUCUAGUUCUGUCCGACAGCACAUGAAUAAUAGGAGUGAAGAAAGUGGUGAGAAUAAUAUUAAGAGUAAUCUAGCUAAAAGGGAAUCAGGAAAAGUCUGUUAUAUAUCAAGCUGAACUCUAAAGGAAUUUAAGAGACAGUGGUGAAGAGGGAGCAUAUCCUAGGAAUGGUUUGGUAGCUCCUGCAAAGACAUGGCGAUGUAUAUCAGUUUGGUUGUAACGUAAAGUCUGUGAAAGAGAGUAGUGUGUAAUAAGACUGGAAAGAUUGGAGCCAUAUUGAAAAGGGUUUUAUAUAUUAUUUUUACUUUUUGUUUUUUGUUUCUUGUGCUUUUUCCCUUUUAGUCUGAUUUUUCUUUCACAACAUGACUAAAAUGGAAAUAUGUGUAAAAUGAUUGUAUGUAUAAAACCUAUAUGAGAUUGUUUGAUAUGUUGGGGAGUGGGGAAGGUUAGGGAAGGAAGGGGAAAAUUUGGAACUCAAAAUAUUACAAAAAUGACUAUAUUUACUUGUAAUUGGAGAAAAUAAAGUACUAUUUAAUGGGAAAUUGACUUUACAUGCCAAAGAGAGGAGUUUAUUUUUUCAUCCUAGAGAUCAUUAACCUCCACGGGAGUUUCUUUGGUGAAAGAGUAAAAUGCUCAUACCUGUGCUUUAUUAAUAUCAAUUUGACAGGAAAAUGAUAGAAGAGAAUGUGGACUAAGAGAGACUAAUUAGGAGACUUUCAAAAUAAUCUGGGCCUAGGUGGUGAUGGUCUAAACUAAGUUGGUGGUAGUGUGUUUUGUGAAUACCUUUGAUUGUCAGGUUAGUUCUUUCUACAAGAAAAGCCUUGAAUGGAGCUAAGUUGUAUCAUGGACAGAAUGCUAGACUUGGAUUCAGGAACACCUGAAUUCAAUCCUGCUUCAGAUAAUUACUAGCUCUAUGACCCUGGACAUAUCACUUUACAUCUUUUCACCUCAGUUUCCUUUCUGUAAAAUGAGGAAAAUUAAGUAGCACCUAUUUCAUACGUUUCUAGUAGGAUCAAGUAUGAUCCAGAUGUAAAGCAUUUUGCCAAUCUUCAAAGGCAGCUGGGUGUGGAUAUAGGACUUGGAGUUUGAAGACCUGAAUUAAAUCUAGUUCUAGUCACUUAGCAGCUGUGUGACCUUAGCUGAAUCACUUAGCUUCAGUUUUCUCAACUGUAAAAUAGACCUACCUCAUAGGGUUGUAAUAAAGAUCAAAUGAGAUAAUAAUUGUAAAACAAUUAGCAUGGUACCUGAAAUAUAGUAAAUGCUUAAUAAAUGCUUGUUUUCAUUCUUCAAGAAAUAAAUGAAUAAAAAAAUAGAUCAUCAACUAUUCUGCAAUUUAAAGUCUUGGAGAGUUGCUUAGAGUACUGGGAAAGGGUCAGUGACAACAUAAGUCAGUGGUUAGUGACUCAGAGAUCAGCUCUCUACCUACUGUUACCCCCUAUUGUUGCCAUGUUAUAAUGUCACGGAAAGAGCAGGUGACCAGGAGAAUUGAGUUCUAAUCUUAAAUCUUCUGUAAAUUUGAUGUAGGGGGAGAGAGGAAUAGAAAUUCCUUAGAAAUUCACUUACCAAUUACAUUCUAUGUGACAUUGGCCAAGUCAUAAAUCCCAGUUUCUUCAUGUAUAAAAUAGAAAUUCUAAAAUCCUGGGGUUUAAAAUAGGGAGGACUAUCAAGGUCAAUUAUAAUAAUACGCUUUCUACUAAUUUCAUCUCUAAGGGAUAUUGUGAGAAUCCCGUGAGGGAUGAGUGGUUGGGAGGGAACUCUUGCAAAUUUGACUGUCACCUUGACUGGGGUAUAUCUGAUUGGACAGCAUGAGACAUGUGGAAGAGAAAAGGCAAAUGUCAUCUGGGGAAUUCAAAGGAUUUUCAGGUUUUAAGUCUGGUUCUAUUGAACAUCUCCAUCACAGGAAGCAUGGGUAACCCCAAAUUGGUCAAGAGUUUUAGUUUGAUGACCAGCAGAAUGAUUUCAGAGAGGCUUGGAGAGACCAUGAACUGAUGCUAAGUGAAAUGAGCAGAACCAAGAUGGCAACAACAAGACUAUACAAUGAUCAGUUCUGAUGGAUGUGACUCUCUUCAACAAUGAGAUGAUUCAAACAAGUACUACUUGUUCAGUGACGAAGAGAGCCAUUUACACCCAGAGAGAGAACUGUGGGAACAGAGUGUGGAACACAACAUAGCAUUCUCACUCUCUCUGUUGUUAUUUGCUUGCAUUUUGUUUUCUUUCUGUUUUUCUUUUUCUUCUUUUUUGAUCUGAUUUUGCUUGUGCAGCAAGAUAACUGUAUAAAUAUGUAUAUAUAUUGGAUUUAACAUAUAUUUUAACAUAUUUAACAUGUAUUGGACCUACCUGCCAGUUAGGGGAAAGGUGGAGGAAAGGAGGGGUAAAUUUGGAACAGAAGGCUUUGCAAGGUUCAAUGUUGAAAAAUUUAUUCAUGCAUAUUUUUUUUGUAAAUAAAAAGCUUUAAUAAUAAAAAAAAGUUUUAGUUUUGAGUUGGCAGAAGACCCUUAAAGCUGUCAUGUGGGGAGGGGUAAGGUGAAGAAGGUGGUUAGGGAGUGAAACAAAGGGCAGUUGCCUCAGUUCACCCAGGUGAAAGGAUCUCCAGAGGUACAAAUUAUAUUACAAUUUACAUCACAAUCUGAUUUUUCUUGUGCAGCAAGAUAAUUGUAUACAUAUGUAUGUCUACUUUGGAUUUAACAUAUAUUUUUAUCAUGUUUAACAUAUAUUGGAUUAUAUGCCUUUUAGGGGAGGAGGUAAGGAAAAAGGGAGGAAAAAUUAGAACACAAGAUUUUUCAAGGGUCAAUGUUGAAAAAAUUAUUCUUGCAUAUGUUUUGCAAAUUUAAAAAGAACAACAAAAAAAGAACUUAGAACUCAAAAAAUUUAAAAAUAAAUGUAAAAAAACUCCAAAUUACAUCACAAAUAAUUACUACAUUUAACAGGGAAGGAGAAUUGGGAAGGGAGAAUCAGAAUUUGUCUUGCCUAACACCCUACCUAUUCUUAUUCUUUUCUGUACAACACCACUGUACUUUAUAGAGUGAAUAAAAACAGUCUACUUAUGCAAA